rnacentral:antisense_RNA from 1 species
UGUGGGAGCUGGCUUGCCUGCGAUGCAGACACCUCGGCGUACCGGUUUGACCCAGGUGAUGCCAUCGCAGGCAAGCCAGCUCCCACA